UAGAAACACCAAUUCCAGGAUCCCCUA
rnacentral:piRNA from 1 species